GGUGAGAUGAUGAGCCUUUCCCCAGAUGAUCGACUGUGAACAUGCUGAGCGCUAUUUUUCUUCUCCUCUGAGGAGAUCAAGCCAGGACUCUGAUCACC